GGGGGUAUAGCUCAGUGGUAGAGCAUUUGACUACAAAUCAAGAGGUCCCAGAUUCAUAGUCCUGGUGCCCACU